rnacentral:rRNA from 1 species
GAUGAACGCUGGCGGCGUGCCUAAUACAUGCAAGUCGAGCGAACGGACGAGGAGCUUGCUCCGUUGACGUUAGCGGCGGACGGGUGAGUAACACGUGGAUAACCUACCUAUAAGACUGGGAUAACUUCGGGAAACCGGAGCUAAUACCGGAUAAUAUAUUGAACCGCAUGGUUCAAUAGUGAAAGACGGUUUUGCUGUCACUUAUAGAUGGAUCCGCGCCGCAUUAGCUAGUUGGUAAGGUAACGGCUUACCAAGGCAACGAUGCGUAGCCGACCUGAGAGGGUGAUCGGCCACACUGGAACUGAGACACGGUCCAGACUCCUACGGGAGGCAGCAGUAGGGAAUCUUCCGCAAUGGGCGAAAGCCUGACGGAGCAACGCCGCGUGAGUGAUGAAGGUCUUCGGAUCGUAAAACUCUGUUAUUAGGGAAGAACAAAUGUGUAAGUAACUAUGCACGUCUUGACGGUACCUAAUCAGAAAGCCACGGCUAACUACGUG